rnacentral:lncRNA from 1 species
AAAUGUAAGUGCUGUUGGUUUUGCCACUGUUGUGGCACAGUGUUGCAGAUUUCAUGCGAUGUUUUGUAAUAUGUUCCUUUCUUGUGUUUAUAGCAGUACCAGUGCUGGUGAAGGAACUGUGAAUUUGGGGCAGAAGGUCCCAGAGGGCUGAUCACACAGGUCCAUUUCCACAGUUAGCACACCAAACUGAAACGCAUAGGCUCUCAGUUACGGGCACGGCACAGCGAUUUGCCAGUAUGUCUGCUGAGCAGCUGGAGCUGGCAUCAGCUGCCAAGGGCCUUGGUGGAGUUUGUUUUCAUGUGGGAGAACUGUGAGUUUCCUGGUGAGCAGGAGCAGGCAGAAGUGAAGGAAGAGGAGAAGAUGAAAAUAUGCCAAAGAAAGAAGUGUCUUAACAUGUUCCCCCCAAAGAACAGUGUAAGUAUUUUCUUCACCAGAACACUCACUACCUCAGUCAGCUGUCUACUGAUGGGCAUACCUUCCUGUGUGCUAAAGAGAAAGGGAGAGGCAGAAUGGUUAAAGCCAAAGCAGUGUCUUAGCUUGGGCUGCAACUCUGCUCGCUUUGCAGCACAUCAUCAGCUUCACUCAAAUGGAACAGUCCUUCCCUGACCUAACCACAAUCUGCCCAAGGUCCCCAAAUUAUUCCCACAAGUUAUACUACAACAGCUAUGACUUGCUGGGAAAGAAUCCUACAGCAGCUAAGCACAAGGAAACGUGAUUUUGCUCUUGGACAUACAGGAAAUGCAGAAGCCAAAAGAUGCCUACAGCUGCGAUGUUGAAGGAUGUGGUUUUACUUCAUGGACUUUACAAACCCGGAGACGGCACGACAAGAGAGCACAUGUGGUUUUGUGUAAGAGAUUCAGAUAUUGAAUUAAAGGCUGUCUGAAGUUUGGUCCAGCUUUAGACAGACUGUGAAACACUGUGAAACAAUCCACUUAGAUUUUGCUGUCAUUGUGGAAAACCUAAUGUAAAAGUGGCUUAAGUCUUCUUGUUUUUAUAGCUUUUACUAUUGGGGAAGUCUUGCAAUUCCAGAGUCUUUUAAGAACAUUUAUUGACUUUUUAAUUGUCUCUACUGAGGAAAUAAACUGUG